AGACGCAGAUCGAUUAUAUCUGUGGCGGAGCGCUCCAUACCAGGUGGUAAAGCCGGAUCUUAGCAGUCAGUGUCGAGUGAGCGAGGCGGUCCACUUGCAUUACGCCGAACCCCCUCGCAGAACGGCCGACGGACCCGGCUCGCUGCCCUCGUGACCCCUCCGCAAGUAUCGCAAAGCUCUGCGAUGAAGCCCUGACCUUUUCCAGGUGAGGGUACCGUCCGGGAAGCCUUCGGCAACGGCCGAGGACUUGCAGUGAGUUGUGGAG